rnacentral:rRNA from 1 species
UACGGAGGAUCCGAGCGUUAUCCGGAUUUAUUGGGUUUAAAGGGUGCGCAGGCGGGAUGUUAAGUCGGCGGUGAAAUUUUGCAGCUCAACUGUAAAAGUGCCUCCGAUACUGGCUUCCUUGAGUGUGGAUGAAGUAGGCGGAAUUUGUGGUGUAGCGGUGAAAUGCUUAGAUAUCACGAGGAACUCCGAUUGCGCAGGCAGCUUACUAAACCACUACUGACGCUCAUGCACGAAGGCGUGGGGAUCAAACAGGAUUAGAUA